rnacentral:lncRNA from 1 species
UUCAUCUUCAUCUCCUCUGCUUUCGGAUUACCUCUCAACCAUCCAGCCGAGAUCUACUCUGCAUCUUCCCACGAUUGCAGCUUUCCUCCCAACCUCCGAAUCCAACUCCACCCCAUCCUGUUUCUUCAACGUCCUCGUCACCCCCUGCAGCCGAAGAUCAAACAACAGACUUCCGGAUCAACUACCAGCUCACCUUCCUCUGCUUCGGAAUCAAAUCCCAACAGCAUACCAACUCAAGGAUUAAGCUAACUUCAAUGAAAUUAGUUCCCAGACUAUAAUCCCAACGCCCGGAUUAAAUCUU